AUGGAAGUUCUUACUAAACCGACGAACCAAAUGAUCUUGCCUGCUGCCUGCAGAUCUACACAUAACAGGGAAGAACUAUGUGUCAAGGAAAUAUGUAGAAAAAAACAUAUGCUGCACAACCCAUAUAUGCUACACGACAUAGAACACAUACCGCUGCUCUGGCAGCAGCCCCAAUCCACAGGCAGAACAUCAAAGAGCAGACAAAGAAUUAAAGGAGAAAGGAAGAAAAGCAAACCCCAUGUAAAGAAAAGGAAUAAUAUGACGCGGACUCCCGUGAGCUAUGCAAAAUUUGUGCUCUUGUACAACAUAAUUUGUUGUAUUUUUCUUUAA
rnacentral:rRNA from 1 species